rnacentral:rRNA from 1 species
CCAAUAGCGUAUAUUAAAGUUGUUGCAGUUAAAAAGCUCGUAGUUGAAUUUUAGAUCUGACCAAGCGGUCCGCCAUUGGUGAGUACUGUUUUGUGUCGGGUCUAUCCUUCUGGUGAGCUGGUAUGCCCUUUACUGGGUGUGGCAGGGAACCAGGACCAUUACCUUGAAAAAAUUAGAGUGUUUAAAGCGGGCAUAAGCUUGAAUAGAUUAGCAUGGAAUAAUAGAAUAGGACGUUGUGGUUCUAUUUUGUUGGUUUCUAGGACCACCGUAAUGAUUAAUAGGGAUAGUUGGGGGCAUUAGUAUUCAAUUGUCAGAGGUGAAAUUCUUGGAUUUAUUGAAGACUAACUAUUGCGAAAGCAUUUGCCAAGGAUGUUUUCAUUAAUCAAGAACGAAAGUUAGGGGAUCGAAGACGAUCAGAUACCGUCGUAGUCUUAACCAUAAACUAUGCCGACUAGGAAUCGGGCGACGUUAUUUUUAUGACUCGCUCGGCGCCUUAUG